rnacentral:lncRNA from 1 species
AUGAGAUGCUGUUUUCUCAUUGUGUUUCAGUGAUGACUGAAAAUUUGCUGCCAACGUCUAUCUAUCUGGAAACAAUGUUUUGAUGAUCCACCACCCCAUCCCUCCAAACCACUUUCUUGCACAUACUCCAGAAUAAUAGACAGAAGAAUUUAAUACAUGUGAUGCUUUGCCUUCCAUUUACACUAUCAUAAAUUACAAAGUAUUGUUCACUUCACAAAAUAAAACCAUUUCCAGAUAAUUUUUUGACAGUAUCAAGAAGUACAUAAACUACAACAAACAAAUCUGUGCAGUUGGGAGGAGGGAUAAUAGCAGGGAAGAGGUCAAACCUCCCUGUGCCAAUGGAGUCCAUCUGCAUAGCCCUUGGGACUGUCCAGGUCAACAGUCACACAAUGAUGCUCCACGUAAAAUAGUCAUUCUCUUCUGCUCACUCCAAAGCAAGACUGGUGAGUUUACACAAAUCAUCUCAGUCAAAGGAAAAGACAUUGCAGUUGGAUUUUUUAAAAAUCUAGAUUUACAGUUUUUGAUGUUUUAAAUAUUUCACCUAUGUUACAAAAUAUAGAAAUCUUGGUGUGAAAGGCUCAUGCUAAGAUAAAUAUAACCAAGUGAAUGGAACUGUAGUAAUAAAAUCAUAUUAUCCACACAGAGCUACUUUUGUCAAGGAGGAACAAAUAUCUGGUAAAAACCAACCUUAUUCUCACUUUAAAAAAUAGGUUUGUAAAACAAGAAUGAAAAACACUGACAAUUAUUCUGCAGAUUCGCUUUUCACCAAUACAGAAAUGUGGCAAAAAUACAAUUUGAUAUUAACAGAUGAAUUCAGAGGGCUUGGCCGGGAAGAAAAGAGGCAAACCAGACAUACAUAGGAGGCACAGCAAAAGACCCAAGGUGAGGGGCUUCCCUCACCUUCACCCUUGUUCUCACGUGGAGGUGGCGCAUGUCUAUGAGACACAGUACCCCACUCAGCGAUCCUCUGCAGUCCAGCAAAUUCUAGCACUUGCUUGGAAAACAAAUCAAGUGGUAAGAAAUGUUUUUAUUCCUUUAGCUUUGUCAACUUGGAUGGGGCUGGGGCCAUUCAGCUCAUUUCCCUGAUGGAUUAGAAUAAAACAUCUUCGUUUUCUAUUAAAAUCUGCACAAUCAGCUUUUGGUACCGCAUAUCAUGCAGGGUGGUAAGGGUGCUGUCCUCAGGGGGCCUCAUCAGAGUGGGCCCAAACACGAUCCCCAGAUUUUCUGCAUUCAUGAAAUUGUCUUUUUCAUUCAUAGUAACCCUGCAAAACAAAACAAACAUAUAGAACAGAGACAUUAUGGAGACUUGAGGAUUGAUUUUAUGUAUUGAUUAUGUAUGUAAGUCCCAAGAACAUCUGUGGUUCAGGAAAUUGCAAGAAAAAAAUUGGGAAUCAGAACGGCAGAAAGGUAUUUUUGGAAGGGUAAUUUACUGAUUUUUCGUUUUAAAUUGUUGACAUUGCCUUCGCCGGUGGGAAUGACUUACUUACGUGAAUCUGGCAGGAACACAAUUUUUAAA